rnacentral:lncRNA from 10 species
UAGAUGGAGCCUUGCUCUGUCACCCAGGCUGGAGUGCAAUGGCGCAAUCUCGCCUCACUGCAACCUCCACCUCCCAGUUUCAAGCAAUUCUCCAGUCUCAGCCUCUGACUAACUGGGAUUGCAGGUAGAAAAAAAAUAAAAGGAAUCCAGACAGAACAAAGAAUGAAACUAUGGACACAGGCAUGAGAGAAAUGCACUUAUUUGUGGCAGUACUAUUGCAGAGAUAAUGGGAGAGGUGGUAAGAGCUGAGACUGGAAAAGCAGAGUGGAGCCAGUGUGCAGAGGAUCCAAUAUGGCACCCUAAGGAGUCUGACUUCAUCCUGCAGUGGUGAAUGGGAAAUCAUCUAAGUUUAUUAUUAUUCGUAAGCACAGGGGCAGUGUACAAUUUCUGCGUUGAGAAAGGAGAAUUCUGAAAUGGUAGUUUUGAAUGGUGGAUUUAAAGUGGGAGAUUGAUUUGAGCCUUUAACAUUGCAGUUUAAAAACAAACAGAAUUUUAAAAAGCAAGUGGGAGAUAGAUAUUGAAAGCAGGAAGACCAUUCAGGAGAUAGCCACAAUAGUCUAGAGAGAGAUGGGGAAGGUCAGUUGUAUGUCAGACCAAGCAGCAUGUUUGAAACACUGAAGAAAAAAGCUCCAGUGAUCCACGUAUGAGUGGCCUGACCUACGGAGUAUCGAGGAGAAGGAGAGGAAGGCAAUAGAAAGAACUAGACAUGGGUUGAACUCUUGGUAGCCUGACUAGUGCCUGACUGUUCUUCAAGACUCUCUCCUGAAUAGAUUUGACCUUUUGGACCUUCUAGGGCCCUUUUCAUCACUUGUUACCAGCCAUUGCUACCUCCUGGAGCCCCCUUUAAUCUGGAGCCCCCUUUGAUCACUUGUUACCAGCCAUUGCUACCACCCUGCACCAUUGCAAAGUGGAAUGUACGUGACUCUUCUCAAAGCCCCUAGAACUAUAUACACACAUCAUUGUAGCACUU